GCUGGUGUGGCUCAGUUGGUAGAGCAGCGCAUUCGUAAUGCGCAGGUCAUAGAGUACCGAUAAAGCG
rnacentral:tRNA from 1 species